CUUAUGUGGGGGACGGAAUUUUUACAUUGGGCAGUUAAAUGCCAUGUCAUUAUCCCAACCCAACUCCCAAACUCGCCUUAGUCAAAAAUUAGAUUGAAGUCGUGUAAUCAUAAACAAAAACCCAGACACUCCUCUCUCUCAACCGUGAACCCUAUCCCCAAAUCGUUCCCUUGAAAGCGAUAUUGCAGAGACCCCUACCCCCUAAAUCCAAACUCCAUCAUAAUCAAAGGCAAACCGUGACCACAAAGCUUGGAUUUGCGAAGAUUGACUGUUCAAACGUUGACAUGGAUUGAAGAAAUUGGGGUAAUUCCAUUUUUUUCUCUAACUACGAUGCUAUCAAUCAUUUGGAAUGAAAUUUCAUUCUCUAGAUGACCUUUUAGUGAUAUAGAUACUUGAUGAUGUUAAUUUAUAGCGUUAAACGUGUUUUGUAAUUUUCGUUUAAUGGAUUAUUGAUGAAACGCACGGAAAGCUGACAGGUUGUGCUAUUCUUUGUUCAAAUGUAUGUUAGGAAUCAAGUGCACUGAGGAGAAAUUCUUUAUUCCAAGUGACUGACUGUGGUUUAUUUUAGACCCUUUAGAUGUAAUAUUGUUUGUCUUCUGGCGAUGAAAAAUUAUUUAUGUGGCAACUGAUAUUAUUCACCAGAUAUAAAUAGCAUAGUAUCUAAUAGCUUCAGUGACUUCAUAAUAAAAGUGUCGUGCUUCUAAUUUUCGUAGGUUUAUAUGUGUGUCGUCUCAAAUGUUUCUUCAUAUUAUGACUGUUGGACCUGUGUUUUUAAGUGCAUCUAUUCUGAGCAUAUAUUGAUUUAAUGUUUGGUGGAUAAAUCAGAUUUAUUACAUUCAGAAUAACAGAUAUAAGUGGCAUUGUAGAAGUAUCUUGGACAUCUAGCUUUGUAGAAAUACCUCUUUGAAUUAGUAACUGUAUUUAUCAAAAUUGUCCACAUUUUAACUCUUUGGUGAAUUAUUUUCUACAUAACACGAAUGUUGACAUUCUUCUGUAUCUUUUUGUUGUGUAGGAAAGAAAAAGGGAAUUUCUCACUGUUAUAGAUAGUCGGGACACCAACUGUGGGACUGCCAAAAAAAGUAGUGAUGUCGAAAUUGUGCUUCAAGCUUUCUGAAAUGGAUGGAAGUAGAAAAGAAGACCGAAAACAUAGGUCUGUUAUUCAUUUGGAUCAAUAUGUAAAUGUUUGGGGAAAUACAAUCCUACACCUCUAAUUGCCGAUCUGUCGACUAUAUUCAAACAUUUUGCUGAAAUCCAUAUGCAAGGGAAAAGGAGCUAUGGAAGAGAACAGGAAAAAAAUUGAAGGGAUUUUUUAAUGUAGUCUGUCUAUGUACUUGGUGAGAAUUAGUUUUUUAUUUCAUGUCCAUAACCACGUACGUUGAUUCGGUUCGGCUCAAUUAAUAAGCACGAAAACAAAUUAAUUUUUGUAGGCUCGACCAUCAAAUUGAAAUAAAAAAAUUUAUGAAAAGUAGUUGGAUUUAUCUCGA
rnacentral:lncRNA from 1 species